UACGUAGGGGGCAAGCGUUUGUCCGGAUUUAUUGGGCGUAAAGAGCGUGUAGGCGGCCUGAAAGGUCAGCUGUGAAAACUCGAGGCUCAACCUCGAGACGUCGGUUGAAACCAUCUGGCUAGAGUCCGGAAGAGGAGUGUGGAAUUCCCGGUGUAGCGGUGAAAUGCGCAGAUAUCGGGAAGAACACCCGUGGCGAAGGCGGCUCUCUGGGACGGUAC
rnacentral:rRNA from 1 species